UACGGAGGGGGCUAGCGUUGUUCGGAAUUACUGGGCGUAAAGCGCGCGUAGGCGGACCUGCAAGUCGGGGGUGAAAGCCCGAGGCUCAACCUCGGAACUGCCUUCGAUACUGCGGGUCUCGAGUCCGGGAGAGGUGAGUGGAAUUCCUAGUGUAGAGGUGAAAUUCGUAGAUAUUAGGAAGAACACCAGUGGCGAAGGCGGCUCACUGGCCCGGUACUGACGCUGAGGCGCGACAGCGUGGGGAGAUAACAGG
rnacentral:rRNA from 1 species